UUAAGUACCUGGCAGGGGAGACACCUUGAUCAUGAAGGAGGUUUCCCCAGGGUGAGGCUCAGCUAUUGCAUUCUGGCUGUGCUCACCCCUGUGAUUUCCCCACAUGCGGGAAACUCAACUGCAUAAUUUGUGGUAGUGGGAGACUGCAUGCACGCUUUCCCCAA
rnacentral:snRNA from 1 species